rnacentral:lncRNA from 1 species
AAAAAAAAUCUAGCAAGAGGAACUCUCAAUUCUGAAUAUUUAUGCUCCAAAUGCGAGGUCACCCACAUUCACAAAAUAGUAACUUUGCUAAAGCUCAAAACACACACUGUACCUCACACAAUAUUAAUGAUAGACUUCCACACCCAACUCUCAUGAAUGGACAGAUCCUGGCAACAGAAACUAAGAAGAGACAAAGUGAAACCAACAGAAGUCAUGAACCAAAUGGAAUCUAUAGAAACUUUCAUUCUAAACUUAAAAAAUAUUCCUUUUUCUCAGUACCUCAAGGAACCUUAUAAAAAAAUAACCAUAAAAUCAGUCACAAAGAGGCCUGUACAGAUACAAGAAGAUAGAAAUAAUUCCAUGCAUCCUAUCAGACCACCAUGAACUAAGGCUGGUCUUCAAUAACAACAAAAAAUGGCAGAAAGCCCUCAUAAAAAUGGAUGCUGAAUAACGCUCUACUCAGUGAUGACUUGAUCAAGGAAGAAAUAAACAAAUUAAAGACUUUUUAGAAUUUAUU